rnacentral:tRNA from 54 species
GCGUCCUUAGCUCAGUUGGUUAGAGCAUCUGACUUUUAAUCAGAGGGUCCUCGGUUCGAGCCCGAGAGGACGUACCA